AAAUACAAGAAUGCGGACUUUGUAUCGUGAAAUCAAGAGUCGUCAGUAUUUGUCGUGUUCAACAUUAACGACACACAGUUAUAUCAAGGCUCUAGAAAGCGUGCGGCCUGACAGACCUCACUCAGGGAACACUACUUCCUACUCUCGAGGUCAUUGGCACAUCUCACCAGAAGAAAACACCACACCGCCACCUACUGGACAAAAGAUGGAGUGGAUCUGUGUACCAAACAUUACGGCUGUGAAAGUGAGGAAGAGGAUGGCCUCGAGACAGAGGAAGAUGAGGAGCAGCACCGACGCCCCUGGAGAGAACUCACUGCACUCUGAUCAGAGAAAGAGAAGAAUUAUUAAAUUUUGAACAGAACAACAAAAAUGUCAAAUAAAACACACAAUAAAUUAAUAA